CACCAAGAAGCUAAGCCAGCAUUAACCUUUUAAGUUAAAGAUUGAGAACAUCAAACUCUCCUUGGUGG
rnacentral:tRNA from 1 species